UCAGUUUUACAGUUGUCAUUCUUCGGCAGUCGCUCUGCAAGUUCUGAUUAAAAUAUUAGUUUUGCUUAUAAAAAGUGUUAAAAAAAGAUUAAUAAAUGCAAAUAUAGUGAUCGCAAGCCUGCGUUUUGAAGUUUGUUCAAUAAACAUUCUAUAAAUUGCAAAUUUAGUAGUUUUCCAAGCGAAAAUGCAAAAAUGUGCUCCGCGGGACAAGUUGAAGUAUCUAUAUGUAUGUGUGCGCGUCGUGUGUGUGUAAUUUGUAAAUUCAAAUUUUUGCAUGCGGCGGAUAGGAAGGCAAGGCAAAAAAGAAUGAAUAGAAGAAACUUGAAAAAUUUGGAUAAUUCAGAUAUUCCUUUUGGUCCUGGUCAACCCACCUUGAAUGCCAUUUUAGUAGCUGGAUUUGAAGACUGAAAGUCGAUUGAUGUGACUGAGUCGAUAGCUGGAAGCUGUUUGAUAAGAAAUCCAGCCGUUGCAACGCCUUUAUAGCCAAAAUGGUUCACCUGGUGACGAUGUACUUACCACUCUCAUUACCCAAAUCCAUAAACCCACAAAACCCAAAGCCCAGCCAAAACAAAGUACCGCCCAAGGCCGACUCUACGGACCUUUUGUGUAGCAAAUCAAGCAAUUUGACACAGUCGGCAACCAGAAAAGUACACCAACAAAAAUCAUAAUAACAAAACAUAUGUGUGCCACAAUGACAUAAAUCGUAAUAGAUAUACCAAGACAAACUGGCCCAGUGGCCUAAGACUAACCAGGCGGCAAUGUAAUAUUUUAAUCAUUACUCUGUGAUUUCGGGAUCCAGUCAACUUGGCUUGUCAUCUUCAUCUGGCCGGAAUAUAGAAAUGGCAAGUCAUGGCACAGAAUUUGAGUGAUUGCUGGAACUGAGAACUCGGAACGUAAACAGUAUGCAAAAUCAGGUGUUAAAAACUGAGCUACAUUAAGAGGCACUUGCCAACCAGAUGGCCAGAUCUUGGUCGAUUAAUCGAGAAACUAUAUAUAUGAAUAGGGGACUAGACUAUUAAGGACAAUUUCACUACUUGACCCAGGCAAUGGCAAUGGCGAUCUCGCUUUGCAAUUACUUGAACUCUCGCUCUUCCUCAAUUGUCAUUUGAUAAACUCCACUUAUAAAGUGAAAGGAGCGGUAACAACAGCAAUGGAACCACCGGCAAUUGUUUGCCCGCUGACGAGGUGCGGUUGAUUAGAGAGCAGAGCGUGGGUAAUACCAAUACAAUUUACGAGUACAAAAAAAAAAAAAAAAAAACUCGAAAUAAAAAACAAACCGGCAGCAGCAACAGCAGCAGAGCAACUUAUUCAGAAA